CUGACUGCUUAACUAACUAUUCUAUUCUUCAACACUUUCACAUAACUUUGAAGGCAAUUUGACCCUUCUCUCUAUUUUUGAAUUUUAAACUUUUCUUAUUCCUUUUUUUUUUUCGUGUCACUACCUCUGUCGCCAAUCACUCUCCACCUUAACAACAACUUCGGCUAAAACCAUAUCUGCUACUCUGAUAUUAGCUAUUCGAGUCAAAUCAUACAAUUGAAAGCCAAUUGCUACUUUCUUGCCUUGGAACAUGCACACUCCUUCAUGUGAAAUAUUCAUCUUCAUAGAGCCGCCAAUCACUCUUUCUUCCUUGGACUCCUAUACCGUUAUAUAUUUGCAUUGAAAUAGUGUUUUACAUUGCAUGUGCAAGUCAUUUAGCACAUUUUCCUCCUUGUGGUGAGGGUAAGGGGUGGGGGUGGAGGGGAUAGAGAGAAAGAAAACGGGAAGUGAUGGUGACAAUGGUGGUAGGGAGAGGAGGAAGAAAGGGUGAUUGGUGAUAGAGGUAGUGACGGGGAAAGAGAGGAGGAACCAAAA
rnacentral:lncRNA from 1 species